rnacentral:rRNA from 1 species
AAUCCAUAGGUUAAUGAGGCGAACCGGGGGAACUGAAACAUCUAAGUACCCCGAGGAAAAGAAAUCAACCGAGAUUCCCCCAGUAGCGGCGAGCGAACGGGGAGGAGCCCAGAGCCUGAAUCAGCAUGUGUGUUAGUGGAAGCGUCUGGAAAGGCGCGCGAUACAGGGUGACAGCCCCGUACACAAAAGCGCAUGUGCUGUGAGCUCGAUGAGUAGGGCGGGACACGUGGUAUCCUGUCUGAAUAUGGGGGGACCAUCCUCCAAGGCUAAAUACUCCUGACUGACCGAUAGUGAACCAGUACCGUGAGGGAAAGGCGAAAAGAACCCCGGCGAGGGGAGUGAAAAAGAACCUGAAACCGUGUACGUACAAGCAGUGGGAGCCCCACCACUAAGCCAGUGGUGAACUCCACAUACGCAUCCUUUGCUGAGGAUACGGUUAACGGAGCGAAAGCGACGUUCAACCGCAAAAGAAGCAGAGGGGGCUUAGUGGUGGGGUGACUGCG